AAGUAUUUUGUUGUUUUAUACUUCACAUGUGAGACAGGAAGGAUCAUGUUUUAAGGGCCAGAUACUCAGUUGUUUUCAGUUGAUCUGUGUUUUUGAUGGACUGCUAAGGAGUAAUCAUGAGACACGGAACUCAUAGACUAAAGAUUUUGAGAACUGUUGCAAAAGACACAGUCAUCUGACAAUACUGACAAAUAUCCUUUUGAGCCAUCAAAUAUGUUUCAUUUACAACAGUGGAUCUAAGGCAAGCUGUGUUGUGACAAAGGAUUUAACUCCUUGAAGUGUCCCACCUCCUCCUCCUCAAAAAUGACCAUAGAACUUGAAUGAUCCCAUAUUCACUGCUGUUAAUGACAGAUUUGGAAAAAAAAUAUGAAAGUUGUUCUUGUUUUUAACCCCUACUUUUAUCACAAGUUUCUAUUUCCCAUGGUGAGAAUUAGUCUUUCCCCUAUAAAAUAAGACAUCACGUUAAAGAAAGAGGAAAAAGUGGAAUGAAAGAAAAAAGAGUUUCCAGAACUCCCCAUAGUAUUCCCAGAAGACAUCAUGGCAUCGACUGGAAAAUUUCACAAGCUGUCCAUGAACAUCAGAGAGUAAAGACUCAUUUGGGCUGUGGCUUUGCUGAGUCGAUCUGCUAACACUUCAUCAGGAUUGUCAGGGGUCCUGGUAAAAUGAUAACGAUGCUGUGCACUGGGAAAGGAGGACAUAAAUAAAC